rnacentral:rRNA from 1 species
GGUUUGAUUCUGGUCGAUUGAAUAACGCUGGCGGGAUGCUUUAGCACAUGCAAGUCGAACGGCAGCACGGAUUACCUGGUGGCGAGUGGCGAACGGGUGAGUAAUGUAUCGGAACGUGCCUAGUAGCGGGGAUAACUACGCGAAAGCGUAGCUAAUACCGCAUACGCCCUUCGGGGAAAGCGGGGACCUUCGGGCCUCGCACUAUUAGAGCGGCCGGAUAUCGGAUUAGCUAGUUGGUGGGGUAACGGCUCACUAAGGCGACGAUCCGUAGCUGGUUUGAGAGGACGACCAGCCACACUGACUGAGACGUUACCAGGCUCCCUACGGGAGGCAGUGGGGAAUUUCCUUGGACAAUGGGGAAACUCCCUGAUCCGGUGCCAUCCCGCGUGUGCGAUGAAGGCCUUCGGGUUGUGGAAGUACUCUUGGCAGGAAAGAAACGGCACGUGACAGGCAACUGACGGUACCUGCAGAAUAAGCACCGGCUAACUACGUGCCAGCAGCCGCGGUAAUACGUAGGGUGCAAGCGUUAAUCGAAUUACUGGGCGUAAAGCGUGCAGGCGUUCGGAAAGAAAGAUGAAACUUGUGAGCUUAACUUUGGAACUGCAUUUUUAACUACCGAGCUAGAGUGUGUCAGAGGGAGGUGGAAUUCCGCGUGUAGCAGUGAAAUGCGUAGAUAUGCGGAGGAACACCGAUGGCGAAGGCAGCCUCCUGGGAUAACACUGACGCUCGCAUGAAAGCGUGGAGCAAACAGGAUUAGAUACCCUGGUAGUCCACGCCCUAAACGAUGUCAACUAGCUGUUGGGGCCUUCGGGCCUUGGUAGCGCAGCUAACGCAGGAAGUUGACCGCCUGGGGAGUACGGUCGCAAGAUUAAAACUCAAAGGAAUUGACGGGGACCCGCACAAGCGGUGGAUGAUGUGGAUUAAUUCAUGCAACGCGAAAAACCUUACCUACCCUUGACAUGUUCAAACUCGAAGAGAUUUGGGAGUGCUCGCAAGAGAACCGGAACACAGGUGCUGUAUGGCUGUCGUCAGCCUGUGUCGUGAGAUGUUGUUAAGUCCUGCAACGAGCGCAACCCUUGUCAUUAGUUGCUGCCGAAAGGGCACUCUAUCGAGACUGCCGGUGACAAACCGGAGGAAGGUGGGGAUGACGUCAAGUCCUCAUGGCCCUUAUGGGUAGGGCUUCACACGUCAUACAAUGGUCGGGACAGAGCGUGGUCGCCAACCCGCGAGUGGGAGCCAAUCCCAGAAACCCGAUCGUAGUCCGAUCGCAGUCUGCAACUCGACUGCGUGGAAGUCGGAAUCGCGCAGACCGCGGAUCAGCAUGUCGCGGUGAAUAUGUCCCCGGGUCUGUACACACCGCCCGUCACACCAUGGGGAGUGGGUUUUACUUCAGAAGUAGAGCAGCCUAACCGUAAGGAGGGCGAUUACCACGGUAGGAUUCAUGACGCGGAAGUCGUAACAAGGUAAAUC